rnacentral:lncRNA from 1 species
UUUCUUUCUUCCAGCCGCAGCAAAUGCAAUUCCUUGCAUGGCCAUUACAAUGCAAAUUUAAGACAUGAGCCAUUCAAUGUGAUAACAAUUUUAAAGUGUGGCUUGUCUGCAAAAUGGGAGCCCCCAGAAGUGCACUGUAACCCAUCCAGAUUUACACUUGAACACACUGCCAUCAGGAGCACGACACUCCAGCAGCACUGAGUCAUUUCAGCACAAAUGCAGUCUGGUAGAUACCUUCAGAAAUCAUCACUGUGUUCUUGUAUGGCAGUGUACCACUUGUGAUAGGAGAUUCAGCUUCAAGGGGCCAUGAAGAUGACUUGAAGACCAGGCUGCUACCGCAGGAGCAACAUAUCAUGCUCUUAAUAAGGCAGAGGAAGGGAUUUCCAUAGUGUGGAGCAUAACAUCUCUGUAAAAGCAGGGGAGGGACAGCUGGUUGGAUUCACCUCUAGCCCUGGGUACAAACCCUACCACCGCACUUUUCCCAAGGGACCAAGCUUUCCAUGUGGUGAGGGCCCCACGGUCUGCCCUAUUGACAGCUUUUCUCUCGGUGCCCCCAUAUCAGAUCUGUCCCAGCCACGUUCACUGAACACAUCAAGAGGUGGGUGGGAGCCACAGCCUCCACCCUCCAAGCCGCCUUCCAGAGCCUCCAGCAAGUAACAGCAAGCAGGAAUUUAGAAGCAGCUUUUCCUGACAACGGAAGUCAUAUUUUGUUUUGAAAACAUCCCUGUGCUUGUGGAAAAAGCUAAAAUAAAAACUCCAUGCCCA